AGUCACUUGCACAGAGCAUCACCACACCCCUUAUACCAGAGAAAGUUUGAUAGACAGUUGCCUGUAGACCAAUCAGAUCAAGUUUAGAUCACUCCCACCUUUAAUAGUUACCCCCCAAAAACAAAUGAUAUAAAUAAGACUUCUUGAUUAUUAGAGACAGGAGAAUACCAACGAUAGAAUACUAGACCCUCACUGAUCCUGACUGACUGACUUCAAGACUCAGACGUCCAUCGAAUAUUAUAUUAACUUCACUCCUAAUCUUAAUCUUAUACUUCGAAACUAUUAUAUUCAUCGUCUCCUGUUAUAUCUGAAUCUUCAUGUACUUCAAAUUGUGAACUGUCAACUGCAACUGAUGAUUAAAUACCUAGUGAUUUGAACUGUAUAACUUUCUGCAAAGUUUCUUCAUUACGCUUCCCUUCAAUAAUCACCGAUCCCAUCCCCCAACACAACAUGGUGGAGAACCGGCUUUAAUAAAAUACUUCAAGAGUGCAGGAUUAACAAAUUGCAGAGCAAAAAAAGCUUACGACUUUGCCAACCAGCUACAAAAUUUGCAAAAAUGAACUGGACACUUCAUAUUUUAAGAUUGAAUCUGUGAGCAGACUUCUUCAAUCUACAGCAACAUAAACUCGAGUCGAAAAAAAAAAAAGAAAAGAAGAAAUUUAACCAUACAGACGGAUAGAUCAGACGGACAGAACAGACGGAUAGAGCAGACGGAAGACUCAGACGGAGAAGAAUUUGGUGUUGUGCUGGAGGAAUGCGGAUGAAUUCAGGUCGAAUGGCAAGAAGAUGCCCUGUGCAGCCCAGAAAAAAUGCCAUCAGACCUAGUGGCCCUGAAAUCCAAGGUUCAUCUGGAAGAGUUUGCCCAACAGGAAACACGCAACAUGGAGCUAGAUUGGGAAGAAUUCUUUGCUGAAGGAUGACCUCAACAAACUUGGGUCAAAUGUCUGGAAGAUUCCUAGAAAUAUGCCACCUCAACCAGUUGUAGUACCAUUCAUGAGAGUUAAGCCCCCAAAUCCAAGGUUCAUCUGGAAGAAGUUGCCCUAUAGGAAGCAUGCAACCUGGAGCUAGAUUGGGAAGAAUUCAUUAUCUGCUGAAGGAUGAACUCAACAAAUCCAGGUCAAGAUGCCUUGAAAUAUGCUACCAUAUCCUGAAGUACACAAGCACAGAGUGCCAUUCAUGAGAGUUAAGCUCCCAAAUCCAAGGUUCAUCUGGAAGAAGUUGCCCUACUGGAAA
rnacentral:lncRNA from 1 species